GCCGGAGCAACCCCACCUCCGGUUUAGACUUUCCUUGCAGGUCCCGGCAGCGACCGCGGCUUCCCCGACUCCAGCUUCUCCGGCGCAAGCGGAUUUUUGCACCAACAGUACCCGAUGGUCGGAUAGGUCGAAUGUGUAGAACAACAUCCUUAGAACCCAUGCAGAUAUAGUUUCCAUAUAAUUCAUCCCCUUGACCAAAAUGCUUAUAGAACACCUCAAAGUUCAACCGUCAACUCUGAUCAGGUUGUCUAUAUUGUAUUUCAAAAUAUCAAAUCUAUCUGAUAGAUUACUCUGGCCA
rnacentral:lncRNA from 1 species